GGGGAUGUAAUGGUUUCGACAUACUUUGGGUACUAUUAUCAUCAGUAGUUUGGCAGACUAUAAUGCCACUAGGCUUUAGAAUCGCAAAAGAUGAAAAAGUAAACGAAGCUAACAUGCUUCCUGAAUUUGCAAUUGCAAAUUCACUUCAAACUUCAAACCUUGUUUUUGCUUAGUUAAAAGCAACAAGUGGCUUAAAAAAGAUGAUCUUAUUUUUUAAGUCGGUUUUAAGGUCCGCCUAAUAUUUGUGUCAAAAUAUUAAUACUGAUUUUUGUUUGUUUGUUUAAAAAAUUAAGUAUUUAUAAAAAACAAACUAAACUGUAAAAAGUGAUAAUAGUGGCUUGAUUUAUGGACGCGGGUUCGACUCCCGUCAUCUCCACCA
rfam:Mycoplasma columbinum SF7 contig5, whole genome shotgun sequence.